rnacentral:lncRNA from 10 species
GGGUUUUUUGUUUUUUGUUUUUCGUCUAAAACAGCCUACAGAAUCCUGGCCUUGGCUUUCUCACCAGACUUCUGGGAAGGUCAAAUGAGAUAAUAUAUGCAAAAGCACUCUGUCAGUGAAAAGUGCUCUGUUUCUGGUCUAAUAACCCUCCCCAACCCACUCACAGUUCUUCAUUUUCAAAUUCCUUAGUGAGCAGUUGGUUUCGUUGUCUUAAUUUGGGGCAGUAAUGAUUUCUGAGAAGCAGGUGAUUGAUAACGCGCAAAUUCAAAGCCCCUUGGGGGCUGCAUUGUAGCAUGGUGUGGGGAUGGGGAGACAGAGGGCUGGUAGGAUCCCGAAUUCCUAGUUUUUCUCUCCCUCUCCCUUGCUUCUUCAUUUUCUUCCUUCAGGCUUUCUUCCAUUUCUUUCUUCCAUCAAAUAUUUGUGGAGCUGGAACUGGGCUUCACUAUCAUAUUCCAAGGCCCUGUACUGGGAACAGACAAAGAAGCUCCUCCCAGAGACUGGAAGAAUGGUACAAGGUGUGAAAACCAAGGCUUAAAGCAUGCAAGUUAUUUGCCCGAGGUUUUUCAGCCACAAAUGAAGAAGCUGGGUCUGCUCCACACCUGUGAACCAGGCUAUUUCCACCAUAACCUGAACUCAGAUGAGCACCAGCCCAUGGAGAAUAGUCCAGAAGGCUGCCCAUAGCCUUAAAGGACAGUGUGAGCAUUAAUCACAGCCUGUUGCAUUUGAAGACCACCUCCGGAACAAUGUCGUUUUAAAUCUAUGCCCAAGGCUGAACUUGGAUUGGAAAGAUGGGAGAGACAGCAGGCCUGGGUGUAUUCAGGAUUAUUUCCUAAUAACUCACUCUCUCCUCCCUCCUCCCUUUCUUGAAAGUGAGUGGUUAGGGAUGAGCGGUUGCAGGCAGAGAUGACAGCAUGAGAUAUUUCACCAAAGAGUGGGUGUUUAACCACCACUUGUCUAGGAGAUGGGCAACAUGUCCCAGAGAUGAUUCUAACAGGGAACUCUUCCUGGCAGAGUCCAGUGAAGGGAACCAGGAAAUUCGGGGGCAGGGCAAUCCCACUCUCUCUGUCAGGUGAGAUCACCUGCGCAGUGGUUUGAGUUCAGGCAUCUUACUUUCUUUUAGUUAGAUUCAUAGGAUUAAAAAUUAUCUGCUUAUCUAGUCCAAUAUUUUUAAGGCAUGUCAAAAAAUCUGCAGAAUCCCCCCCCCCCCUUUUUUUUCAUAAGAAAUAUACAUAAAUCUGAGAAAAAGCAGAGCUGGAAAAAAAGUGGGGGCAUCUCGGAGGAUGAACUACCUGGAGCCCCAUUCUGGCAGCUCUUGAGAAUUCUGGAAUUCCUCUGGAAACUACUGAUUUAGUUUCUCAUUUCCAUUUGAGAAAACAAAAUAUAAUAAUAGCGAUCAAGGUUAUAUUUUAUGGAAGUCUCACUGUGUAUGCGUCUUUUUAUUCUUACAGCAGCCUCACAAAAUGAGUGUUAUAUUCUGGAUUAUCAGAAGAGAAAUGUGAGAUGCAGGCAGGUUGAGAAAAUUGCUCCAAGUCACUUCGGGAAUGUGUGCAUGGACAAGGCGAUUUCGUGCUGAAGUACUUGGGGUGAUUGCUGCGCUGCCUGCAAUUUACUUUCAAAUAGCUCAGCAGAAACGAUACGCAGGGACAAGGAGAGAGCAGACCUGGUGAAACGUUAACAACUGAUGAAUCCAAGUGAAGAGUGCAUGCCCUUACUUGUACUGUUGUUUCAACUUUUCUGCAGGAGGUUCUUAUUUCCCCCUCAUUGAGUCUGGGCUGGCCGUGUGGCUGUUCAACCAACAGAAAGCAGCAGAAGUGUACUGUGCAGUCCGGGGCCCAGGCUUUUAGAGAACUGUGGCUUUCUCUGCCUCCUUCUUGGAAUCCACUUACCAUGUUGAGAGGGGCCCAAGCCACAUAGAGGCCAACAGCCAAGUAUUUGCAGCCAUCUGGGUGAGCCAUCUAGGACAUUCCACGCCAAUCAGACCCCUGGAUUGGAGCAGUGGAGCAGACAUGGAGCAGAUGCAGCCCAGCGAAGGCCAGUAUCACAGGCCAGAACAAAAUGUUUUAAGCCAUUAAAUUUUGGUGUGACUUGCUCUGCAGCCAGAUAACUGAAAUAGGUGUAACCGAAAAGUCCGUAAGAAGGAAGAUUUACCUUGCUGACCAAUGCAGAAUAACAAAGCACAGGAAAUAACAUUUGCUGGGUCGGAAGACAACUGUCUGGAACAGGUGAUGACAUCCUUAGCCUUUAGUAGGUUUUGACUUCAAAACUGACCCCGGCUUUCAUGCCUCUUUUUGAUGCUCAACACGGACAAUUUCAAAAAGAAAAAAUUUCACUUUAAUCCAGCCUCACCCCCACAUGUGUGUUUCACACAGACCUUAUUUUUUAAACAGAGU